UGGGGAAUAUUGGGCAAUGGGCGCAAGCCUGACCCAGCGACGCCGCGUGCGGGAUGAAGGCCUUCGGGUUGUAAACCGCUUUCAGCGGGGACGAAGCGAAAGUGACGGUACCCGCAGAAGAAGCCCCGGCUAACUACGUGCCAGCAGCCGCGGUAAGACGUAGGGGGCGAGCGUUGUCCGGAUUUAUUGGGCGUAAAGCGCGCGCAGGCGGCCAGGCAAGUCGGAUGUGAAAACACGAGGCUCAACCUCGUGCCUGCAUUCGAUACUGCUUGGCUAGAGGCAGGUAGGGGAGAUCGGAAUUCCCGGUGUAGCGGUGAAAUGCGCAGAUAUCGGGAGGAACACCGGUGGCGAAGGCGGAUCUCUGGGCCUGUCCUGACGCUCAGGCGCGAAAGCUGGGGGAGCGAACAGG
rnacentral:rRNA from 1 species